rnacentral:tRNA from 1 species
GGAGUUGUGGCUCACUGGUAGAGCACCUGCCUGGCAUGUGUGAAGCCCUGAGUUAGAGCCUCAGCACCUCAU